rnacentral:rRNA from 1 species
CAGCCGCCGCGGUAAAACGGAGGGUGCAAGCGUUAAUCGGAAUUACUGGGCGUAAAGCGCACGCAGGCGGUCUGACAAGUCAGAUGUGAAAUCCCCGGGCUUAACCUGGGAACUGCAUUUGAAACUGUCAGGCUGGAGUCUUGUAGAGGGGGGUAGAAUUCCAGGUGUAGCGGUGAAAUGCGUAGAGAUCUGGAGGAAUACCGGUGGCGAAGGCGGCCCCCUGGACAAAGACUGACGCUCAGGUGCGAAAGCGUGGGGAGCAAACAGGAUUAGAGACCCCGGUAGUCCCUGUCUCUUAUAC